CAAAAUAUAGCUUAACUAAAGCAUCUCGCUUACACCGAGAACAUAUCUGUUAAAUCCAGGUUAUUUUGA
rnacentral:tRNA from 1 species